rnacentral:rRNA from 1 species
UACGAAGGGUGCUAGCGUUGUUCGGAAUCACUGGGCGUAAAGCGCGCGUAGGCGGCUUUUCAAGUCAGGGGUGAAAUCCUGGGGCUUAACCCCAGAAUUGCCUCUGAAACUGGGAAGCUUGAGUGUCGGAGGGGAUAGCGGAAUUCCUAAUGUAGAGGUGAAAUUCGUAGAUAUUAGGAGGAACACCGGUGGCGAAGGCGGCUAUCUGGACGACAACUGACGCUGAGGCGCGAAAGCGUGGGGAUCAAAC